rnacentral:rRNA from 1 species
GAUGAACGCUAGCGGCAGGCUUAAUACAUGCAAGUCGUGGGGCAGCAGCUUUAUAGCAAUAUAGAGGCUGGCGACCGGCAAACGGGUGCGGAACACGUACUGAACCUUCCUUUAAGUAGGGAAUAGCCCAGAGAAAUUUGGAUUAAUACCCCGUAACAUAUAGAAGUGGCAUCGCUUUUAUAUUAAAGCUCCGGCGCUUAAAGAUGGCAGUGCGGCUGAUUAGGUAGUUGGCGGGGUAACGGCCCACCAAGCCUACGAUCAGUAACUGGUGUGAGAGCACGACCAGUCACACGGGCACUGAGACACGGGCCCGACUCCUACGGGAGGCAGCAGUAAGGAAUAUUGGUCAAUGGACGGAAGUCUGAACCAGCCAUGCCGCGUGGAGGAUGAAGGUCCUCUGGAUUGUAAACUUCUUUUAUCUGGGACGAAAAAGGGCUUUUCUAAGUCAACUGACGGUACCAGAUGAAUAAGCACCGGCUAACUCCGUGCCAGCCGCCGCCGUAAAAC